CCAUAUCACAUUGAAACACUAGUUUUUGUUUGAUCACUGAAAUUAAGCCAUAUUGAGCCUGGUUAGUACCUAGAUGGGUGAGCACUUGAGAAUACCAGGUGCUGUGA